rnacentral:misc_RNA from 1 species
CUCCAGCCCGGCUGGUGUGUUGGGGCCCCGUCCCCCUUCCCGGGGGGGACGGCCCGAAAGGCAGCGGCGGCACCGCGUCCGGUCCUCGAGCGUAUGGGGCUUUGUCACCCGCUCUUGUAGGCCCGGCCGGCGUCAGCCGACCCCCUCAAUCUAUUUUUCAGGUUGACCUCGGAUCAGGUAGGGAUACCCGCUGAACUUAA